GGCUAUUGAAGUGCUGAUGCGUGUGUUUCGGAGAUGUUUAUGAGGACCUGACAGGGUGUUUAAGAAAGAAGGAACCAUCUCUACUUCCUGAGAGGCAGAGAGGAGGAGGAGGAGACAAUAUGCUGAGCAACCUUUUCACCAUGCUGAGACAGUUCACUGAGAGGUAGAGUUUUAAAUA
rnacentral:lncRNA from 1 species